GAUGAACGCUGGCGGCGUGCCUAAUACAUGCAAGUCGAGCGAACAGACGAGGAGCUUGCCCCUCUGACGUUAGCGGCGGACGGGUGAGUAACACGUGGAUAACCUACCUAUAAGACUGGGAUAACUUCGGGAAACCGGAGCUAAUACCGGAUAAUAUAUUGAACCGCAUGGUUCAAUAGUGAAAGACGGUUUUGCUGUCACUUAUAGAUGGAUCCGCGCCGCAUUAGCUAGUUGGUAAGGUAACGGCUUACCAAGGCGACGAUGCGUAGCCGACCUGAGAGGGUGAUCGGCCACACUGGAACUGAGACACGGUCCAGACUCCUACGGGAGGCAGCAGUAGGGAAUCUUCCGCAAUGGGCGAAAGCCUGACGGAGCAACGCCGCGUGAGUAAUGAAGGUCUUCGGAUCGUAAAACUCUGUUAUUAGGGAAGAACAAAUGUGUAAGUAACUAUGCACGUCUUGACGGUACCUAAUCAGAAAGCCACGGCUAACUACGUG
rnacentral:rRNA from 1 species